rnacentral:rRNA from 1 species
AAGCUCGUAGUUGAAUUUCGAAUGUGGCUGGGCGGUCCGCCUCACGGUGUGUACUGUCUGCUGUGUUCUCCUUCUUGGUGAGCCGGCAUGCCCUUUACUGGGUGUGUUGGGGAACCAGGACGUUUACCUUGAGAAAAUUAGAGUGUUCAAAGCAGGCCUACGCCCGAAUACAUUAGCAUGGCAUAAUAAAAUAGGACGUGCGGUUCUAUUUUGUUGGUUUCUAGAGCCGCAGUAAUGAUUAAUAGGGAUAGUUGGG